GAGGUAUUAGAGGAACGCUACAGAUGCCAGACUUGGACAUGGUGGAAAAAUUUCCUAGAUGCUUCUGACAUUGCAUCCUCCAUCCAUCAUUUGGUUAUAAGGAGCUUCUGUGCUAUAUGAUCUCAGCUUCAGAAUACAUCAUUUAGUCUGAGCUGCCUGCUCGUCUACAAGCAUGCAUUUUAAGAAUUGGUACAUCUUUAUACAGUGUAAUACAAUAUCCCAAUUUGUUACACCAAUUUAUUUACUUUCAUCAUUAGCAGCAUUAAAGCUAGAAUAUUUAUUUGUAGCCUGUAGGCUGUUCACUGAAGUGUGGUUUGAUGUAUUAUUUGCAAAUAGAACAGAAUAAAAAUGUCAUAAAAUGAAAUAAUUAAAAAAAAAACAGAGUAAAAAGUAUUUCAGUGUACUGAAAUAGCUGGCUUUUUUAAUUACUGGUUGGCUAGUAAAAAUGAGUAGUUAUGCCACCCCUGCUGCAUACCAGAGAAGAUGUUUUUGAGUUUGUAUAUGGAAAUGUGGAUGAACACAGGCAUGGGAGCACCCUGCGACAUAAAGCAUGCACUACUUCACCUUCAACAAACCUGUGCAUUUGCAUGAAAGUGGUGAGUGACAGUAUCUAAACAUCCCAUUUUACCAAAAGUCUCUAUGCCUAUGAAUCCCCCUGAUCUACUUUUACAUUUACGGCAGUUGGCAGACAACCUUAUCCAGAGUAACUUACAUUUAUCUUGUUUAUACUGCUGAGCAGUUGAGGGUUAAGGGCCUUGCUCAGAGGCCAGCAGUGGUAGCGUGGCGGUGCUAGGAUUUGAGCUUACAACCUUUUGAUCGGUAGUCCAACAUCUUAUCCACUGAGUUACCAAUGCCCCAUUCCGCACCUUUACCCAAGAGAAAAGCAGUUUAACAAAAUGUAUGGCUAAACAAAAAGGCUUUCAACCUAGAAUUAAAGGUUGAAACUGUGUCUGAGUCCUAAAUACUAACUGAAAUCUAUUCUAUAGAAUGGGCGGAUUUGUAAGAAUAAACUCUGCCCCUGCUGUAUUCUACAUUAUUUUAGGUACUGAUAAAGAUCCUGCACCUUUUGAUUGAAGCAGGCAGAUCACAGAAGGUAUUGUGGUGCGAGACCAUUCACUGCUUCAUGAGUCAUGUUUUAUAAUCAGCCUGAAAUAUUACUGCCAGUGUAAUGUGGAUAAAAUAGACGUAAUAUGAGCAAACUGUCUGGUGAUAAUCCAUUGUGUAACAGCUUUCCUGCACAACAUUGUUCUGUGUCUUUAUUGUUUGGUGUACAUUGUUCUGUGUAUUUAUUGUUUGGUGUACAUUGUUCUGUGUCUUUAUUGCUUGGUGUAUAUUGUUCUGUGUCUUUAUUGUUUGGUGUAUAUUGUUCUGUGUAUUUAUUGUUUGGUGUACAUUGUUCUGUGUAUUUAUUGUUUGGUGUAUAUUGUUCUGUGUAUUUAUUGUUUGGUGUAUAUUGUUCUUGUGUCUUUAUUGUUUGGUGUAUAUUUGUUCUUUGUCUUAUUGUUUGGUGUAUAUUGUUCUGUGU
ensembl:lncRNA